CUGCGGUAAUACGUAGGGGGCGAGCGUUAUUCGGAAUUACUGGGUGUAAAGGGUAUGUAGGCGGCCCUUCAAGUCGCGUGUCAAAGUCCAGUGCUCAACGCUGGGUGUGCGCGCGAUACUGACGGGCUUGAGGGCUGGAGAGGUGAGCGGAAUUCCCGGUGUAGUGGUAAAAUACGUAGAGAUCGGGAGGGACACCAGCGGCGCAGGCGGCUCACUAGACAGUUUCUGACGCUAAGAUACGAAAGCGUGGGGAGCAAACA
rnacentral:rRNA from 1 species